AGAGUUUGAUCAUGGCUCAGGAUGAACGCUGACAGAAUGCUUAACACAUGCAAGUCAACUUGAAUUUGGGUUUAUAACUUAGGUUUGGGUGGCGGACGGGUGAGUAACGCGUAAAGAACUUGCCUCACAGCUAGGGACAACAUUUAGAAAUGAAUGCUAAUACCUGAUAUUAUAGUUAUAGGGCAUCCUAUAAUUAUGAAAGCUAAAUGCACUGUGAGAGAGCUUUGCGUCCCAUUAGCUAGUUGGAGAGGUAACAGCUCACCAAGGCGAUGAUGGGUAGCCGGCCUGAGAGGGUGAACGGCCACAAGGGGACUGAGACACGGCCCAGACUCCUACGGGAGGCAGCAGUGGGGAAUUUUGGACAAUGGGCGCAAGCCUGAUCCAGCCAUGCCGCGUGUCUGAAGAAGGCCUUCGGGUUGUAAAGGACUUUUGUCAGAGAAGAAAAGGGCGGGGUUAAUACCCCUGUCUGAUGACGGUACCUGAAGAAUAAGCACCGGCUAACUACGUGCCAGCAGCCGCGGU
rnacentral:rRNA from 1 species